UACGUAGGUGGCAAGCGUUGUCCGGAAUUAUUGGGCGUAAAGCGCGCGCAGGCGGCCUCUUAAGUCUGAUGUGAAAGCCCCCGGCUCAACCGGGGAGGGCCAUUGGAAACUGGGAGGCUUGAGUAUAGGAGAGAAGAGUGGAAUUCCACGUGUAGCGGUGAAAUGCGUAGAGAUGUGGAGGAACACCAGUGGCGAAGGCGACUCUUUGGCCUAUAACUGACGCUGAGGCGCGAAAGCGUGAGGAGCAAACAGG
rnacentral:rRNA from 1 species